CGGCCGUCUCACAUUUAAACACUGAAUCUCGUACGAUUUUCGAAGUUAAGCAAGAUCGAGCCUGGUCAGUAUCUAGAUGGGUGACCACUUGGGUAUAUCAGGUCUUGUA